AUGAAAACGCCAGUAAACCAGUUUGUAUCACUGUGGGCCACUUUUGGUGGAGGAACCAAACUGUCAGUUGGAAGUGUGGCUGCGCCCACCCUCACGGUCCUGCCCCCCUCCAGCGUGGAGCUGCAGCAGGGGAAGGCCACACUCGUGUGUUUGGCCAACAAGGGCUUCCCCUCAGACUGGAGGCUGAGCUGGAAGGUGGACGGGAGCAGCUGGAGCUCGGGGGUUAGCCAGAGCCCCGGGCUUCUGCAGAAGGACGACGGCCUCUACAGCUGGAGCAGCACCCUGACCCUCCAGGAGGACCAGUGGCUAAAGAAGACAGUGACCUGUGAGGCCACCAAGGACUCCCAGACUCCUGUCAGCCAAACCCUGAGGAGAGAGCAAUGCACUGGGCAGUGAGCGUCCACGCGUGUGUUGAGCUGCUAGAGCUCCUCUUGAUCUUCAGUGAGCUCAAUCAUGGCUCUGCUUAAUGCUCUGAUCUUCAUCAUCACUUCCUCAUCAUUAUCAUAAGAGCUUUGUUCUAAAUAUCCAGUCUUUUAUUGCUCUCAAAAUAUACAAUUAAUGUCAGAUUGCUACUUUGUUUAUGAAAUCAUAUUGUUUUCUCAUCUUUUAAAGCUUUUGUUUCCUGUUAAAAAUAAAGCAAUUGGAUAAAAUGCA